UCUGUGACCAAGAGAAGAGAGCCAGCAUCUGAAAUCUGACAUCGCUGGGUGGACAAAAGUAUCUGAAGAUGGGAAACAGAAUGCUUGGGGGACUGGCAAGCCAAAGGAACUGUUGACUGCAUUUUACUGAUGAAAAGUGACUGAUUGAGCCCAUUCCCUCAUGGAUGAAGAUGGAGUCAAUCAAGAAAAAUGGCAUCUUUAUGAACAAUGAAUGUGAACAUUUAACUUGGAAGAACUGAUAUCGAAGGAUCAAAAAGUGAUGUGGUUAUAAACACUUGGCCACCACAAGCCAAAAUGGUAGAGAUGGUACCAGUUCUCUGUACUCAAAGAAUAUAUCUCUCUGUCCAAGAACCCCUUAUCUGCUCAGACAAAAGACACAUGUUUUCUACUAAAAGACUCAUGUUUCCAUCAAGUAGUGUAUCUGCUUGCCUGAGCUUGAGAUCUCAGAGGACAUGCUGGUUCUGCAGCUACAAGAGUGGAGCCUCCACUAACCACAGGAGCAGAGUUCCCAUCAGCCACAACCCUCAGCGGAAGAUUCACACUUACCUAUACCUACCCCAGUGGAAAGGCAUUAGCACAAAGAAAGUUGGAGAUGCUUGCAGCUUUUAUACAGGAAGCACCACCAAUUGGGGAGUAACCUGCGAGACCUGGAUGAGCUAUAAGUAACCCAAAAGUUCCACUGGACAAAUGCUGCUGAAGAGACAACCAACCUUCUUGGUUGAAGCAACGUUGGAACUGUGUUCUGUGACUGCUUGCUUGUUUGCCUUGAACUCUGUCUGAACUUCUGACUACUCUUUGGACUGCUUGCCUUGGAUUGUGUACUGAACUGUGGGCAACUUGGACCAGACUGUACUACCUCUUUUUCUUAGUUAACAUCUUGGUGAGUUCUGACUCUCUCCCUGUAACUGUGAAAGGCUGUGCUUUUGGACGUUAUCAGACAAGGGAAAUUGGAAGUAUAAUCCAAUGGCAAUCGGAACUCA